UCAGGUGAUCCACCCGCCUCAGCCUCCCAAAGUGCUGGGAUUACAGGCGUGAGCCACCACCGCUCCUGGCCUGUUUUGAUAAUUUUUCCUUCCUAAAUGAUGAGACUAGAGAGAAGUUAGCCUGCCACUUGCAAGCGUUCUCUUCAAAGAACACGUUGCAGGUGUGAAUUCUCUUUGGCUUAAAAACCAAACUGAAUAUAAUUUUCCUUAUAUUUACUCCAUUUAACAUUGGCAUUUAGAUUAAGAGUCAUUCUGAGGCCUUGCCUAACAUUUUUAUUAGAUGUAUGCAAAUAAUGGAACCAUCAGUGAUCAUGCGGAGGUAAACUUUCAGAAUUAGUGUCUGUUAACUUGGUGUUAUAACAUCAAAAUUCUUUAUGCUUCUCAUACUCAAAUUCACAUUGUGAAAAUAAAUACUUAGAAUAAAAGCAAUUUUAACUGUUUAAUUGCUAAAACUACUUUUCCUUGCUACUGCUAUGCAGCUGGAUAACUAUUUCCAAAAUAAAUCACAAGCACGCUUUUCUGAUCCCUAUCUGCUGUGCAUGGUUACGUGAUAUGCAGUUGGAGGCCUGCAAUGCUUUUUUUUUUUUUUUUUUUUUUUUGAGACGGAGUCUCGCUCUGUCGCCCAGGCCGGACUGCGGACUGGCAAUGCUUUUUAUUUUGAAAGGAGAAGCUAAAUACUUUCGGAUAUUUUUAAAGAAAGAGCUAAAAAUAACUACCAUUUCUGCCUUUACAAUGUGAUCCCCAAAAGCCUUUCUAAACAAACAGUAGCUGGAAAAUGCUGAAAAUGAAUAAAUGGAAUCCCUGUCCUUAAAGACAUCCCAGCCUGGCAGAAAGAUGGAUAAGUAAACAACAGUGGGGUGCAGGAACUGAUACUGACCAUUGAUGGGCACAAAGUAUUAUGGGAACACAGACAGCAGGCACUAACCUGCUUUAGGAAUGCCUGGGAUGAUUUACUAAGAGAACUGCCGUGAAGGAUGGCAACUUGGAUCGGCCCAGAAGCCUUCCCUGGUACUCACCCAGGGCCUGAUGUAGAUGUCACUCGGUGGUCCCAGCAGCUUGUCACAGCUGACAGCACACUGCUUAUUAUUGGUUUACUUGUUCACCUUUCUCCACAAAAUGGUAAGCUCCUUAAAAGUAGAAACUUUGUCAUUGUAUCUACAGUGCCUGCUGAUGCAUAAGAACUAUCUGACAAGUAAAUAUAAGGAGUCUAGGAUGAUGAAAAUACUUCUUCUCUAAGACGGGCUGAUGUUUAAAGACAGUAUUUUAUGUCUGUACCAUGAUAUGUUUAAAGAAUGUGUAUUCGUGUUUGAAAUGCCAAUACCAAAUAUUAGAUGCAAGCACAGGGUCGGGAACCAUGGGAGACAAACAAGACACAAUCACUGCUCUCCAGAAACUUACAGUGUAAACUGGAGGCUUCACGGUCCCCACCAGGAUCUAAACAGGCAUAUCUUUCAUGUGUUUUUAUUUUGGAGUUCCACAAAACACUUUUUUUGAAUACAGAGCUCCAUUUCGUUAAAAAAAUUGACAACUCUGAUCAAGUAAAUAAGAAAGCUGCUUAUAGGACUGAAACACAAGCUAUUCUGGC
rnacentral:lncRNA from 10 species